CGGGUUUGAGAGGACGAUCCGCCACACUGGAACUGAGACACGGUCCAGACUCCUACGGGAGGCAGCAGUGGGGAAUAUUGCACAAUGGAGGAAACUCUGAUGCAGCAACGCCGCGUGGAGGAUGACACAUUUCGGUGCGUAAACUCCUUUUAUAUGGGAAGAUAAUGACGGUACCAUAUGAAUAAGCACCGGCUAACUCCGUGCCAGCAGCCGCGGUAAUACGGAGGGUGCAAGCGUUACUCGGAAUCACUGGGCGUAAAGCGCGCGCAGGCGGCUAUUUAAGUUGGAUGUGAAAGCCUACGGCUCAACCGUAGAACUGCAUCCAAAACUAUUAGACUAGAGUGUGGGAGAGGAAGAUGGAAUUAGUUGUGUAGGGGUAAAAUCCGUAGAGAUAACUAGGAAUACCAAAAGCGAAGGCAAUCUUCUGGAACACUACUGACGCUGAGGCGCGAAAGCGUGGGGAGCAAACAGGAUUAGAUACCCUGGUAGUCCACGCAGUAAACGAUGAAUGUUAGUCGUCGGGGGCCUAGUGUCUUCGGUGAUGCAGCUAACGCAUUAAACAUUCCGCCUGGGGAGUACGGUCGCAAGAUUAAAACUCAAAGGAAUAGACGGGGACCCGCACAAGUGGUGGAGCAUGUGGUUUAAUUCGAAGAUACGCGAAGAACCUUACCAAGCCUUGACAUUGAUUGAAUUCACCAGAGAUGGAGAAGUGCCUUUCGGGGAACAUGAAAACAGGUGCUGCACGGCUGUCGUCAGCUCGUGUCGUGAGAUGUUGGGUUAAGUCCCGCAACGAGCGCAACCCUCGUCGUUAGUUGCUAACAGUUCGGCUGAGCACUCUAGCGAGACUGCCUUCGCAAGGAGGAGGAAGGUGAGGACGACGUCAAGUCAUCAUGGCCCUUAUGGCUAGGGCUACACACGUGCUACAAUGGGGCGUACAGAGAGUUGCGAUACCGCGAGGUGGAGCCAAUCUCAUAAAGCGUCUCUCAGUUCGGAUAGCAGUCUGCAACUCGACUGCUUGAAGCUGGAAUCACUAGUAAUCGUAGAUCAGCAAUGCUACGGUGAAUACGUUCCCGGGUCUUGUACUCACCGCCCGUCACACCAUGGGAGUUGAUUUCACCCGAAAUUGGGA
rnacentral:rRNA from 1 species